AAACAUUUCAUGAUCGACAAUCUGAAGGCCGGAGCAGCUUCACUAAACUAGGAUUGGAUGCCAGAGAGUACCUAAAUGCUAAUCUUGUAGCACGAAGCAGGGAAGGCUUUCGUCCUAAUGUGACUGCAAAUGCAGAACAAAUUAUUGAGUCAGUUCAAAUUGUUCCAGCUGAAGAACUUGAUAAUGCACAGAUAUGUAAAAAUUCAUCAACUGUUCCAGUUCACAGUGAACAUAUGGUGUCAAAAGUGGCUGGGGCUCUUCCUUAUGUGACUGCAGAUGCAGGACAAAAUACUGUUUCUGCUCCAAUUGUUCUAACUGCAGAAGCUCUUUCAAC
rnacentral:lncRNA from 1 species